rnacentral:rRNA from 1 species
UACGGAGGAUGCAAGCGUUAUCCGGAAUGAUUGGGCGUAAAGCGUCCGCAGGUGGCUGUGUAAGUCUGCUGUCAAAGAGCGAAGCUCAACUUCGUAAAGGCAGUGGAAACUACACGGCUAGAGUGCGUUCGGGGCAGAGGGAAUUCCUGGUGUAGCGGUGAAAUGCGUAGAGAUCAGGAAGAACACCGGUGGCGAAGGCGGGUUGCUGGGCUGACACUGACGCUGAUGCGCGAAAGCUAGGGGAGCGAACAGG